rnacentral:rRNA from 1 species
AGCGAACGCUGGCGGCAGGCCUAACACAUGCAAGUCGAACGAGACCUUCGGGUCUAGUGGCGGACGGGUGAGUAACACGUGGGAACGUGCCUUUAGGAUCGGAAUUACUCAGGGAAACCUGUGCUAAUACCGAACGUGCCCUUAGGGGGAAAGAUUUAUCGUCUUUAGAGGGGCCCGCGUCUGAUUAGCUAGUUGGUGAGGUAAUGGCUCACCAAGGCGACGAUCAGUAGCUGGUCUGAGGGGAUGGCCAGCCACAUUGGGACUGAGACACGGCCCAAACUCCUACGGGAGGCAGCAGUGGAGAAUCUUGCGCAAUGGGCGAAAGCCUGGCGCAGCCAUGCCGCGUGAAUGAUGAAGGUCUUAGGAUUGGAAAAUUCUUUCGCCGGGGACGAUAAUGACGGUACCCGGAGAAGAAGCCCCGGCUAACUUCGUGCCAGCAGCCGCAGUAACAC